rnacentral:snRNA from 1 species
GAGUGUCACGGCUCUUUUAGAAUUCGUCUAGCAGGUUUUCCGGUCUGCACUGGAAAGCCCCC